rnacentral:hammerhead_ribozyme from 1 species
AUCCAGCUGACGAGUUCCAAAUGAAACGCGCGUCCUGGAU